UAUUAAUAAAAUUGUUUUAAUUAAUGUUUUAGUUUAAUAUAAAUAAAAUAAAAUUAAGUCUUUGUAUAUUUAAUUGAUUUGAUAAAAUUUACUAUAGUGAAUUAGUAUUGUAAAAGAAAUUUGAAUUAAUUUUAUAAUUAUUAAAAGUUAUUUUUAAUUAAUGUAUCUUGUGUAUCAAAGUAUAUUGAAAUAAAUAAUUUAAUUUUUUUUCUCGAAUUUAAAAGAGUUAAUUAAAUAUAUUAAUUAUUGUUUUAUAAAUAUUAAAAAUAUUUAAUUGGUAAUGAAAUGUUAUUCGUUUUUAAGGAUAUCUAGUUUUUUAAUAAAUGAAUUUAAUUCAUAUAUUCAAAAUUAUUGAAUAUUUUUUUUGUUUAAAUAUUUUUGAAUAUUAAUUUUAAAAGGGAUGAUCUUUUUAAAAUAUUUUUAUAAUAAUUAUGUAAUAUAGGAUUUUAUGAAUUUAGAAUUUGUUAAUAUUUUAAGGAUGUUAAAAUUUAAUUCUUUAUUUAUUUGUUUUUUUUAUUAUUUAAUGUUUAUAUUAAAAUAUUAUUUUUAAUUUUAAAUUUUUAAUGAAUAUUAUUUAAUUAGUAAAUUAAAUUUUGUUUAAAUAUUUUAUGUUUGUUUAAUAUGAAGAAUUAGGCAAUUAAUUUGCUCGCCUGUUUAUUAAAAACAUGGUUUCUUGAUUAUAAAUAAGAGAUCUAACCUGCCCACUGAAUUUUUUGAAGGGCCGCAGUAUUUUGACUGUGCAAAGGUAGCAUAAUCAUUAGUCUUUUAAUUGAAGGCUAGUAUGAAUGGUUGGACGAGGUGAAUUCUGUUUUAUAUUAAUUUUAAUUGAAUUUAGAUUUUAAGUAAAAAUACUUAAAUUUUGUUAAGGGACGAGAAGACCCUAUAGAGUUUAAUAAUUGUAGUUUUAAUUGAGUUAAAUAAUAAUUUUUGAUUGUUAUGAAAUUUAUUUAAUUGGGGUGAUUAAAAGAUAAUUAAAACUCUUUUUUAAAAUUAAUAAUUUUAUUAAUUUAUUGAUCCAUAUUUAAUGAUUAAAAGAUUAAAUUACCUUAGGGAUAACAGCAUAAUUUUUUUUAAGAGUUCAUAUCGAAAAAAAAGAUUGUGACCUCGAUGUUGGAUUAAGAUAAAUAUUGGGUGUAGAUGUUCAAUUAUUAGGUCUGUUCGACCUUUAAAUUCUUACAUGAUCUGAGUUUAAACCGGCGUGAGCCAGGUUGGUUUCUAUCUUUAAUUAUUUAUAAUUUUUUAGUACGAGAGGACCAAAAAUUUAAAAUAAUUUUUUUAUAAUGAAUAUUAUUAAUAUA
rnacentral:rRNA from 1 species